AACGAACGCUGGCGGCAGGCCUAACACAUGCAAGUCGAACGCCCCGCAAGGGGAGUGGCGCACGGGUGAGUAACGCGUGGGAAUAUGCCCUUCGGUUCGGAAUAACACAGGGAAACUUGUGCUAAUACCGGAUACGAUCUACGGAUGAAAGAUUUAUCGCCGAGGGAGUAGCCCGCGUAGGAUUAGCUAGUUGGUGAGGUAAUGGCUCACCAAGGCGACGAUCCUUAGCUGGUCUGAGAGGAUGAUCAGCCACACUGGGACUGAGACACGGCCCAGACUCCUACGGGAGGCAGCAGUGGGGAAUAUUGGACAAUGGGCGAAAGCCUGAUCCAGCCAUGCCGCGUGAGUGAUGAAGGCCUUAGGGUUGUAAAGCUCUUUCGCCAGGGAAGAUAAUGACGGUACCUGG
rnacentral:rRNA from 1 species